rnacentral:rRNA from 1 species
UACGGGGGAUGCAAGUGUUAUCCGGAAUAAUUGGGCGUAAAGCGUCUGUAGGUGGUUGACCAAGUCUGUUGUUAAAAAUCAGGGCUUAACCCUGAUCCGGCAACAGAAACUAGUAAACUUGAGUACGGUAGGGGCAGAGGGAAUUCUCGGUGUAGUGGUGAAAUGCGUAGAUAUGGAGAAGAACACCGAUAGCGAAAGCACUCUGCUGGCCCGCAACUGACAUUGAGAGACGAAAGCUAGGGGAGCAAAAGGG